AGAGAGACAAAAACACCUCCUAACUAAAGACUGAGUGAUGAACAGCACAGAUGGCAUGCUGUUUGCUGCGGACACACGGGGACAACUUUAUGAGCCGCAGUUUAUGGAGGAAAACGCGGGGAAACUUGUAUGCGAACUGGAGAGUAGGGGAGACAAAGUUACCUGUUGGUGCAGGUGUGUCAAUUUCUGUGAGCUUCUGCCCACUAACCGAGAACGUUGCUGUCACGAGUGGGACUUUUGGGAAACAAAUCCCAGCAGGACUGCAACCUGUCCACCAGAGUCCACCUGCCCUUGUCAACGACGAAGUUUGUCCCCGACUUUCUUCAUCGUUCAGGAGUUACAUCGGGAAACCAGUAAAGCCGACUGGAAGAGCAUCUUCAAAGAAAAGUGGUUCACUUGAGGAGGAUGGCUGGUGACAGAUGGAGAAGAGACGAGGUUAUCAACCCUGUCAGACAGUCAAUCAGGAUGAAUAACGGUGUAACAACGUCAGGUCCAAAAGGAAGCGAUGCUCUGCACUUUGUUUCCAAGGAGAAUCUCCCUGCAGGCUUUUAAAGCAAGCUGUCUGUGCUGCCUUGACGUAUUGUCAGCUAUUAUUCCUGAUGCCUCCCAUGGGGUCGUCCUCUCCAUAAACUCUUCCCCUUCACUGAGCCCCGGCCUCCCAUCACCAGCAUGCUUGUUAAACAGACUCACACAUUAGUCUAACUCAUGUUUCCUCUGAGGCCUAAAGGCUGCCAACCCAAAGCUCCUGUUUAUCACUCAACCCCAUGUGUAUAUAUGCGUGUGUACAUGGCUGCCUUUACACAUUCAUACACCUGUGCUGCCCUCGGAUAAAAGAGCUUGACGUACUGUAUGUGUACAUUUCUUUCAUCCCAGCAUCCUUCCUCUUUAUCGCAGUGUUUGCUUUGUUGGGUUUGAACCAGUCGAUGU